UGUAGCUGUGUGUAGCAGAACAAGGCUUACUUCCUCCCUCUGGUCAGUCCGUGCGCUGUUUCUACAUGAUCCUUCCUUCGGAGGUUGGUUGGGGGCCCCCCUACUAAGACUACUGGUAAGAGGCCCCAAGCAGCCGCCUUAGACCGCCUCUGAUGAUGCAUCAUAAAACUGACAACUCCAGCAUCCUCUGCGCUCGGGCGAAGUGGUCCAUCUUCUCAAAGGCGCGCACCUUCCCCAGGAAGGACUUGAGCGACGGGUCCUCGGGGGUCUCCUCGGUCUGCUCACGACCGGCCAGUGCCGGGGCCGGCCCCUGCGGUGGCAGCGGCUGGAUGUCGACGACGGGCGGGCCCCGGGAGACGCGGGAUGCAGAGGAAGGCCUGAGGGCG